rnacentral:misc_RNA from 1 species
GUAGGUGAACCUGCGGAAGGAUCAUUACCAUAAAUCCAUUUGAAAACCAACCGUGUGAACCUGUAAUCGUCUUUCGGGGCUCUUUGCUUUUAUGGGUACUUUUUCGUUCAAAACCCAAAAACGACACUACUUUAUUGUUAUGCCUGUGGCGUAUCCCUAUAUAUGAGCGUUGGCGUGUUUCACACAAUAACGACAUAUACACAUACGAAACAAAACACAUAAUGACAUUGUUCUAUUGUUCCCUUGGGUU